rnacentral:rRNA from 1 species
CCUACGGGGGGCAGCAGUGGGGGAUAUUGCACAAUGGGGGGAACCCUGAUGCAGCGACGCCGCGUGGGUGAAGGAGCGUUUCGGCGCGUAAAGCCCUAUUGGCAGGGAAGAAGGAGGACGGUACCUGACUAAGAAGCCCCGGCUAACGACGGGCCAGCAGCCGCGGUAAUACGUAGGGGGCAAGCGUUAUCCGGAUUUACUGGGUGUAAAGGGGGGGCAGACGGCAGCGCAAGCCAGGAGUGAAAGCCCGGGGCUCAACCCCGGAACUGCAUUUGAAACUGUGUGGCUGGAGUACAGGAGGGGCAGGCGGAAUUCCUGGUGUAGCGGUGAAAUGCGUAGAGAUCAGGAGGAACACCGGUGGCGAAGGCGGCCUGCUGGACUGCGACUGACGUUGAGGCGCGAAAGCGUGGGGAGCAAACAGGAUUAGAUACCCUAGUAGUC